UGGAGAACAGCCGAUGCGAGAGGGCGGAGGACAGUAGCCACUACAACCCGGGAGAGGUCAGACGUGUUGUGUUUCCUCUUCAUUUUAUACCAUUACUAGUUAUUAUCGAAGAGUUAAACAGCACAAAUUGACACCAUCGUAUCCAGGUGAAUUAAGAAGUGAAGUCGUUAAUGUGGAAUCACUCAAAGACGGGGGACCACGUGACUGGCUGGCUGCCCACUUGCUACAAUAACAAAGCCUUCUUCUCAGAUAAGGCUUUCACAUGAUUCGAACCCAGGCCGCCACGGGUCAUCAACAGCGCUGACACUGACCACUGCACCAGCGAUCGUCUUACAGCCUUUAGGUUCUCAGGGGAAGCUGAAGCUGUGUUUCACUUCGAGCAUCCUGGGAAUUGUCAGUAAUUCGACCUUGUGGAAUACUGAGCACAACCUUGUGGGACUGAGCACAGGACGGCACGGAGACCUAGUGGGACUGAGCACAGUGCUCCAAAUUUAGAAUGCUUGUGCUUAAAAUGUUGGUCUCCGGCUUGCUGAAUCCUUGUCCCUUGCGCCUUCAGCUUGAAGUCUCCAAAGGAAUUUGUUGAUUUACUGCGGGGAACACGGGCCACAGGGAUAAGAGCCUCCUUGGACGUAGAAUCACUGUUUACCAACGUACCUGUGGAUUAAACAAUCGGGAUGAUAGUGGAGUGCAUCGUGAUCCGCCCUGUACUCCUCUUGACACACCUGAAAACAUUCUUAAGGAAACUACUACAAAGGCAGGACAUAACCCCAGACGGCUGGCUGGUGGUGUUGGUAUCCUGAGGAAACCGGUUGUCUGGGUCGCUUUCUUCCUAAACGUAGUCCUUCGGAGAAACUGUCUACAGUUAAGACACCGGUACGAAACUAAAGUCUGAUAUUUCGUCUAACGGUUGUCAUAAAUCGUCACCCUUCUCCUUUGAACCCCUUCUUGCACUAAAGGAAUCUGGGCAAGAUUUGGCCCAGACUUGUCUAAGCAUUAAAGGCUACGUGCAAAGUCUGCACUACAUCAUCUGUAGUACGUGCUGAGAAGAGGGCCGUAAAUAAGUCUCUCAUUGUGCGUGACUACCAAUACCUACAGGUUGGAUAAAGGCAAAUCUUGGUGGUAGUGUUACCAGAGGGUUGCAGGUAGUUGGUAUUAAAGAAAGGGACUACAGUUAUCGGCAGACAUAUGAUGCAGUUCAUAUGGAGAAUGGGCAAGGAGCGAGGCGCGAGGAGCUAGAGCUGGUCAUCCGGGUACAUUGUCCAACAGCAACUAGUCUCACUGCAGGGCUCGGUAGAAGACAGGUAUGACGCCCUGGUACUGAACAGCGUGUAUAACGACGGCAUAAAGCGGCACAACAGUACGUCAUCUGUGAGGGCAGCCUUUGAUAUAUAUUUAUGCAGAAUAGCUGCUCGUAUGGCAAAAAUUGAAGUUGUAAAAUAAACGUGUAAAGGUCAUAAUGUUCUUAAAUACCUUACGCAAGAGGUGGUGUAACGGUUGGUAGACCCGUGAGGGUAAUGUCUGUAUGUUGAUGUUUAUGAAACGUGAAUAUUUAGUGUUAGUCGAGAAAUGCAUAAUGGCUUCUGACUUAGAGUGGUAUAGGAACAAUACAGGUAAAAGGGGAUGGUUGUGUGUGAACAGCUAUAUGUAUAGCAGAACCCCUGGCUUAUAUUAUUCUAACUAGCUGGUAUAAUGUAAUAUAUAUGAAGCAAUGUAUUAAAUAGCGUGAAUAUAUUAUACUAUUAAAAUGUAUAAUAUACGAAUACAUGGAAUAACUAAUAUUUAAUUGUAUACCAUUAUAAUAUAUGAAUUAAGAGUAUAAUAAAUAUAUAGUAUAUUAAAUGGUACAAAUAUACAAUAUAUUGUAUACUAUUUUCAUUAAAUCUACUAAUGCUAAUAAAAUAAGAUGUAU